rnacentral:rRNA from 1 species
AGCAGCCGCGGUAAUUCCAGCUCCAAUAGCGUAUAUUAAAGUUGUUGCAGUUAAAAAGCUCGUAGUUGAAUUUCGGGGUUAGUAGGUUGGUCAUGCCUCUGGUAUGUACUGGUCUCACUGAUUCCUCCUUCCUGAUGAGCCGUAAUGCCAUUAAUUUGGUGUUGCGGGGAAUUUGGACUGUUACUUUGAAAAAAUUAGAGUGUUUAAAGCAAGCUAACGCUUGAAUACAUUAGCAUGGAAUAAUGAAAUAGGACGUUCGAUCCUAUUUUGUUGGUUUCUAGGAUUGACGUAAUGAUUAAUAGGGAUAGUUGGGGGCAUUAGUAUUCAAUUGUCAGAGGUGAAAUUCUUGGAUUUAUUGAAGACUAACUACUGCGAAAGCAUUUGCCAAGGAUGUUUUCAUUAAUCAAGAACGAAAGUUAGGGGAUCGAAGACGAUCAGAUACCGUCCGUAGUCUUAACCAUAAACUAUGCCGACUAGGGAUCGGAUGAUGUUAAUUUUUAAUGACUCA